UUUCUUUUUUUUUUUUUUAACGGCAUUGGUAAUUAAAAUCCUUGUACAGACUGAAAAAAAAAAUGAAUGGGGAGUAUACAACUGAUGGUAAAAAUGUCCCAGUGGAUUAAAAAAGGACAUGAAUAAACAAUUCACAAAAGAGUAAAUAUUUGUAAACAAAUAAUACCAGUAAACAAAAUAAAAAUUCAAAAUAAACACAUUUUUUAAAAAUGCGCUUCCUGGUGUUAAAAAAGUAAACUAAAAUUACCCCAAUGGGAGUUCCCAUUGUGGCUCAUUGGGUUAAGAACCCAACUUAGUGUCCAUGAGGAUGCAGGUUCGAUCCUUGGCCUCACUCAGUGGGUUAAGGAUCCGGCGUUACUGUAGCUGUGGUGUAGGCCAGUACCUGCAGCUCCAAUUUGACCCCUAGCCAGGGAACUUCCAUCUACCUCAGGUGCAGCCCUAAAAAGAAAAAAAAAAAUUACCCUAGUAUUAUAUUUGUCUAUUCAUUAUAUGGAUAUUGGAUAUCCCAAUCCUAAAAAUGUUGCAAAUUGCCUACAAAUUUGAACACAUCAUUUUCUUACCCCAAACUUUGGCAUCCUCUUGGCUUUCCAUUCUCGUUAUUUUUUCCCAGCUUUAUUGAGCUGUUACUGAUAUGUAUGUAAAUUCAAGGUAGGCAAUGUGAUGUGAUAGGUGUGUAUACGGUGAAAUGAUCACGAUAAGGUUAGUUAACACCCCCAUCCCCUCAAACAUUUUUAAUGGUGAAAACACUUAAGAUCGACUCUCUUAAUACAGCACGGAGUAUAUAAUAGAGUAUUGUUACCUGUAGUCACCGUACAGUACACUAGGUCCCCAGAACUUGAGUUCAUCUUAUAGCUGGAAGUUUGUACCCUUUGACCAACAUCUCCCCAGCCCCUGACAACCUCCAUGUCUAUCUGUGAGUUCUGCUUUUUUAGAUUCCACAUAUAAUUGAGAAUAUACAGUAUUCCAAACCGUGAACACGACAUACCUUUCUAUUUAUUUAUGUCUUCUUAAAUUUAUGCCAUCAGUGUUUUAUGGUUCUCCGUGUACAGUUCUUUUACCUACUUGGUUAAGUUUAUUAAGUAUUUUAUUAUCUUUGAUGCUCUUGUAAACGGGAUUUUUAAAAAUUUCUUUUUCAGAGAGUUUGUUGUUAGCAUAUAGAAAUGCUACUGAUUUCUGGGUGUGUUGAUUUUGCAUCCUGCGUCUUUACUGAAAUUGUUUAUUAGAUCUAAUUGUUUCUCAGUGGAGACUUUGGGAUUCUCUAAGAUCAUAUCAUCAGUAAACAAUUAUAUAUUUCUUCCUUGCUUUUUAAGGCCACACAUGCAGCAUAUGGAAGUUGAGCAGGAGCUGCAGCUGCUGGCCUGCACCACAGCUCACAGCAACACUGGAUCUUUAACCCACUGAGCGAGGCCAGGGAUCAAACGCGCAUCCUCAUGGAUACUAGUUGGGUUUGUUACCACUGAGCCACAAUGGGAACUCCUACUUCUUCUUAUCCAACUUAGAUGCCUGUUAUUUUUCUCUGGCCUAAUUGUUCUGGCUGGAGCUUCCAGUGCUGUGUUACAUAGGAGUUUUGAGAGUGGGUAUCCUUGUCUUAUUCCUGAUCUUAGUGGGGAAGUUUUCAACUUUUCGUGGUUGAGUGCAAUGUUAGCUGUGGAUUUGUCCCAGAGGUCUGUUGUCUUCUGUGCUUACAGACAUGCAAGCGUGCCUUCUCUCUCUCUCUCUCUCUCUCUCUCUCUCUCUCUCUCUCACACACACACACACACACACACACACAGAAUAAAGCCACAGACCUUUCACAGUUUCCAGUGUAACACAGGGAUGGUGCGAGAAGGUGUGGAUGGUGUGUAACUUGCCCAGUGGUGCUCAGCCAAGCAGAACUGGCAGCAGUCAGGAGAAUGCUGGCCUCUAGGGCCAUCCACUCCCCAGGUGACUCCUCUGAGCUUCUCAAAUUUCGGUGCACUUGCAGAUCAUCUGGCAGAGGCUGGGGUCAGAGGUAGGGAGGCCAACCACCAUACUUUGAGUAGCUAGACCCCAUCUCAAUCUCUGUGAUGCUCACAAAGGCUGUAUGCCUUUCAGAAAUGUUUCGACACUAGGGAAAGGGUUGAAAAUACUAUAUGAAUAAUUUGCCUUUUAGCUGUCCGUAAGUAAUUAUAGUUCCCUAACCGACCACUGUGUUUACAAGUACUCCAGGGGGAGGAGGCAGACAGUGUGUGAACUGUCCAUAGGGCAGGGUUGCACCUUUUUUUCUAUGGAACUUGAAUCUGAAAGGAUCUGUCACUCAGCCGGUUGAGUUUCUAAUUAUGUCUCACCUUAAUCAGGCCUCAGGGAGUGGGCAGUUUAGAAGACUGUCCAUGUUAUCAAAUGAGCAAGUCAGCCUCAUUCAGGAAGUCUAAUUGCCAAAUGUCAAAUAGAAGCUUUAUAGUUAGUCUUAUUUUGUCUUCCCGGGCUACUAGGGAAGUGGUGGACCCUUAUUUUAUGGAUGCAGAAAUGCUCAGAAAGGCUAAUGACAUGCCCAGACUGAUUUUGAUAGGAACUGACAGAAGUAGAAUUUGACCCCAAAUCUAUAUAAUGCCAAAUACUUGCCACUCUGCUGCCCCCCACCUCCACCCCCAGAUUGUGGCAAUUAGCCCUCUUUUCAAAAGGAGUUGGAGAGAAAUCCUUGAAAAGAGAGCCUAAAUUUUAUUUAGAAUUGUAAAGUUCAGAGACCAAUCUUCAGCACUAGUAUUAUUUUACUGGAUCCUGGUUUCCAGCUAAGCUCAUUGAAGAUUGAUGAACUCUACCCUGUCACCUGGAGCUUUGCUAUUCCACAAAGUCUUUGUUGGAGUAGUUCUGCAGUGGUGGGGGCGCUUACGGGGGCAUAUCUUACCCCCCAUCCCUGCUCCCUCAGCCUGAAUAAUGGCAGCCACUACC
rnacentral:lncRNA from 1 species